CAAGUCGAGCGAAUCAAUAGGAGCUUGCUCCUGUUGAUUAGCGGCGGACGGGUGAGUAACACGUGGGCAACCUGCCUGUAAGACUGGGAUAACUUCGGGAAACCGGAGCUAAUACCGGAUAAUCCUUUUCCUCUCAUGAGGGAAAGCUGAAAGUCGGUUUCGGCUGACACUUACAGAUGGGCCCGCGGCGCAUUAGCUAGUUGGUGAGGUAACGGCUCACCAAGGCGACGAUGCGUAGCCGACCUGAGAGGGUGAUCGGCCACACUGGGACUGAGACACGGCCCAGACUCCUACGGGAGGCAGCAGUAGGGAAUCUUCCGCAAUGGACGAAAGUCUGACGGAGCAACGCCGCGUGAGCGAUGAAGGCCUUCGGGUCGUAAAGCUCUGUUGUUAGGGAAGAACAAGUAUCGGAGUAACUGCCGGUACCUUGACGGUACCUAACCAGAAAGCCACGGCUAACUACGUGCCAGCAGCCGCGGUAAUACGUAGGUGGCAAGCGUUGUCCGGAAUUAUUGGGCGUAAAGCGCGCGCANGCGGUCCUUUAAGUCUGAUGUGAAAGCCCACGGCUCAACCGUGGAGGGUCAUUGGAAACUGGGGGACUUGAGUGCAGAAGAGGAAAGCGGAAUUCCACGUGUAGCGGUGAAAUGCGUAGAGAUGUGGAGGAACACCAGUGGCGAAGGCGGCUUUCUGGUCUGUAACUGACGCUGAGGCGCGAAAAGCGUGGGGAGCAAACAGGAUUAGAUACCCUGGUAGUCCACGCCGUAAACGCUGAGUGCUAAGUGUUAGAGGGUUUCCGCCCUUUAGUGCUGCAGCUAACGCAUU
rnacentral:rRNA from 1 species